UUUGCAAUCAAGUAGCAUGAGUUCUCCAAUGUUGUUCUUGUGUUAGUCAAUAGACAGUAAUGAGAAAUAGGAGUACAAUGGGGAACACAUGAACAAUCCGUAAACAUUCAAAUUUAAAUUUUAAAACUUUGUGAAGGCCAAUAAUCGAUGCCUGCAGGCUGAAUUCAAUCCGUGGGCCACCAUUGUGUCUGGAGGGAGAAGUCUUUUUGGUGGAUGACUUGUAGAGUACUAGCCCUUCUAGAAGUCUUCUUUAGCCUUCACGGUAAGCGGGACUUGAUCUCAGCAUCAUAUGCCAACUUAACCAAAAUAGAAAGGAACUGUGUGGCACGAAUAGCCUGGGCCCAUUUUCAGUGAGGGCCUCAGGCACUCUGCAAAGCAUCGGUAAAGAAUGAAAUCAGAGUUCCCUACAGUGAGAGUCCACCAUCUCUCCAACUUUAUGUCUCUCCCUAGCUUACUGAUGGUUGAAAUUCCUUUAAUUGAGAGAAAAGUCUUUAAAUCCACAUUCAGAGAUGCAAAUAAAAUACAAGUUGCUGUUUCUUAAAAAGUCAAACACAAACUUACCAUAUGAGCCAGUGAUUCCACUCCCAGAGAAAUGAAAGAUUUGUCCACAUAAAAAUGAACACAUGAAUAUCCAUAGCAGCAUGAUUCACAAAAGCCAAGAAAUGGACACAACUCCAAGUUUCCACCAACCAGUGAGGAGACAAACAAAAUGGAGUACAUCCACACAAUGAAAUACUGUUCAUCAAGAAAAAAGGAUGAAUUUGACACAUCUCAAAAAUGUCACACGAAGCGAAGAAAGCUAGACACAGAAGAUCACAUCAGAGUGACUACCUCUUCCCAUCCCGGUGGAAGACUUGGGGGUUUGCUCUGGGAAGAAGCUCCAUCAAGUGGCUCCGGACAAAGGAUAUCAGGAAGCCAUGGGGAGGGAUACACCCUAAUGAUCAAAGUCUACAUAUGAAAGAUUUCAUUACCUCCUUUCUGUUUCCUUAGACUCUCAGUGCCUUCAUAUCAUUACCUACUGCAUUUCUGAAGCAACAGAGCUUCUUACUAACUGCCUUUUCCUAGACUGAAAGACACAGAUAGAGCUCCAGCGAGAGAAGCAGACAGCAUGGGAGCUGUUCCACAACCAACGGGAAACCACGCUCCAGAGCAAACCGCCUUCUCUGUUGUGGUCAAACUCUAUCUCCACCACUACCACUGGGUUCCUCUGAUACAGGCAACAAAACUUUUGUUUUCGAGGCCAAGUAACCAGAGUAAUGAAUGUAAAAUGUAUUGAUUUAAGAAUGGAAACUACCAAAUGAGGGAUUGCUUUGGGAACUUUAUAUUUCUUGAGACACAGUUAUUCCUCCACAGAGCCUCCAUUGUUGUGUAUAUGGCUAUAACAGGCAGGCCACCCAGGGAUCCAAUUAGAGCACAGAAAUGAGUAAAGGCUGAACCAUAAGGAAAUAUGAGAAGAGACUGUGUGGCUCCAGAUGAGGAUUCAAAUCCUAGCAGCUGAGACAUCAUUCAUUUCAUUAUCUAGAAGCCUGGUCAAACUGAAGUCCUCACACCUCAGCACAAAUGGCUGCCAAACCCUGGUUCUAGGAAACUAAGAGAAAACGGACAACUAUGCAGGCAAGGGCUCUGUGCUCAAAACACCCAGCCAUGGGUCCAAGAAGACCAGAUCCUUGGACUGCAAGCCAAGACAUCACAACCAACGUGAGCAAUUGCUCUGGUGCCAGUCAUGGCCUCAGAUGUAUUGUUUUAAUGGCUAAGGUCACAGGCUAAGGCACACACCAGGUUCUGCUAUUGAACACAGACGCCACCACCCCUCCUGCCUCCCCUCAUCAAACACCAGGAGUCUGUUAGGGCAGAACUGCACAAAUGGGAAACACCCAUCAAAUGCAGCAGGAAUAUUAACUUCACUAGGAAGCCUUUAUAUGCCAUUACUUUAGAAAGGAUUCCUUGUUAGUCCUACCAUUAAACAAUUAAAUUGUCAGAGAUGAAUUCUGUGCAUGUGUGUGCAGAGCGUGCGUGUGUGUGCAGGAUGUGUAAUUUCCCACUCAGGUGAUGUCUGCAGCAGAUCUCUCUCUCUCUGUGUCUCUCUCUCUCGCUCUGUCCCCCUCUCUCUCCACCCCAAUUGUAUGCUUUCCCCCUUACAUUGCUGAAAAUAAAUACG